rnacentral:misc_RNA from 1 species
AGAUGCAAGUUGAGUUCCACCUCCAACAGUACCAACCUCAAUGGAAGGCAUUGUGACAGAGAUGUGCAAAUCUUUUCCGUUGUUAACAGGUUCCAUCAUGGUGAUGCAAUGAGAACUCUCCACAUUUUGUGCUGGAUCUUGGCCAGUUGCUAAGAAAAUUGCAGAUACAAUAUUGCUGGAAUGAGCAUUAAAACCACCGAGGGCGCCAGCCAUUGCAGAUCCAGUUAGAUUCUUAAGCAUGUUGAGCUCUACUAGACUUGCAACACUGGUUUUCAACACCUUCCUCACCACCUCAUCCUUUAUUAUUGCCUCACAAACCACAGACUUUCCUCGUCCUUCAAUCCAAUUUACAGCA